rnacentral:rRNA from 1 species
UCGCCUACGGGGCGCAGCAGUAGGGAAUCUUCCACAAUGGACGAAAGUCUGAUGGAGCAACGCCGCGUGAGUGAAGAAGGGUUUCGGCUCGUAAAGCUCUGUUGGUAGUGAAGAAAGAUAGAGGUAGUAACUGGCCUUUAUUUGACGGUAAUUACUUAGAAAGUCACGGCUAACUACGUGCCAGCAGCCGCGGUAAUACGUAGGUGGCAAGCGUUGUCCGGAUUUAUUGGGCGUAAAGCGAGUGCAGGCGGCCCAAUAAGUCUGAUGUGAAAGACUUCGGCCC